CCCAAAGCCCCGUGCACGUGGAUGCAAUAAAUCUUACCCAAGUAUUUGGUACAGAACAGUCAAGAACAAAUCCACCAUCGAAAUCGAAUUUUGCUUGUUUCUAUGUUUUCUGUUGUCUGCAAAACGAAGUGAGUAAGAAUCAGCUUCAGGACUGGGAACCCUUAGCAACAUACAACAACAAGCCCAAAUUCAAGUUAUAGGAUUUUGCCAUCCCGGCUUUGUGGCAACUGCUAUUUAUCUUCUUAUUACAUAAGGGUACAAGGAUUCUACAUUAUCCUUGGAGAUGUUACAAAUAGCAGCAGACUGCUGAAAGAAGGCAGGAUCAUGGCAAGCAGGACUUGGGGAAAUGUCUACUCCAAGUGUGAUGAAUAGAUAUUUGCCUUCUCACCCAGGCAGCUGCCUCGCCUUUCCGAUUACAAUGAAGAAGAAUCACCACAAUAAUAGAUAUUAAAAGAAUUUUCUAGAAUUCAGGAUCAGGCAGGAAAGAUUUGUGAAAAAAGAGCUGCAUCCAAGUAUCAUCCAUAAGUCAUGUACAAAGCAGGUCCACAGGUACUUACAUUAAUAGAUCCCAAAAGACGAUGCCUGCAUUGGCCAGCAAGUCUUGAUUGGUAAAGGCGCGGCUAAUGGUUUAGACAUUCGUAGUUAGCCCUACAUUCCAAGAUCCCCACUGCCAAGGAAUUUAUGCUAAAGGGAUUUAUUUCAAACAGUUUUUAUUUUGAAGUGAUGCACACAGAUAUCUUUCUCCAUAUUAUGAGUGGAUGUGAGAGUUUGAUGGAGACUACUGAUACCGGGUACAUGCAGCGACGAUUUGUAUAGUCCUUGGAAAAUCUUUGUUACCAAUACGACUCGAUAGUUUGCCUAAGAGCGCCACCAGUGGGCCAAGACCAGCUUUGGCACCGCAAUUCGUCAUGUCAGGUUAAUCUGACUCUAGUUGGAGACAUUCUGCCGAUGACAGACAUGAUUCAGUUUGUUUGUGCAGGAGAUGGUUUUGACCCGACUUCCAUGAAAGCCACAGAUCGUCCUAUGGAUUUUCUGGCCACAUGUAAGCCAUGACGAUAACAGUUUGAAAACAAUUUAUUUCCGGUUAUUACGUUGUGUUCCAUUUCUGAACGAAGAAAAACAAAGCUUUGGUAGAUAUACGUUUAUGUUAUGCAUAGA